rnacentral:rRNA from 1 species
CGAGCGCGCCCCCGCGGCGCGCGUCACGCAUCAGACCU